GCCUCCUCUGCCUGGGGCUCAGCAGAAUUCAGCCCUUGCCUGUGGCUGUAAAAGGAGGAGACUGCUGCAUGUAGAGUAAAACGACUGUGUGAAAAAAAACAUCACUGUUUUCCUUCUGUGUUUCUUCAGAAUAUACACUCCUGCGGGAGUCCAGCAAAAAGGACAUCCCUGAAGAAUUGUGUCACACUGUGUCUUGGUCUUAUUCCUGAUAGAAGAAACCAUAAUACUGUAAAAUACAAUUAACUUGCUUUUGUAUAUUCAGAGAUGAUAGUCCCAGGAAGAAUGGUGAAGAAGCGGUAUCUUGUUUUAGCACUUGGACCUGAGAAAGCGUUACUUGUCCCAACACCUUAGUCACCCAGUGAGAUCUUACCAAACCUCUGGUUUUGCUUUACUCAAUUCCUGGACUCACUAUACAAAGGUUUUGAACGACAGCUUGAUUCAUUUCUUCAGGAAAGAGAUGUAUAUAAAGACACCCAGGAAUGACAAACUUGCAUUCUGUAAGAUCAGUCACUGAAAGACUGAGUGCAGAAAUGAUGGCUAGAAAAUUAAGGAGGGGGAUAAGGAAAGUUAAAGGAGUUGUGCAUGACAGGCAUUAACUUUUAAUCCACUGAGAAUGCUGAGUGUAUUUUUUGGAUCUGCAUUUCCUCAUCCAGGUAAUCAGGUAUAUAAUCCAGGUAAUAAACUUCACAAGUUAAUUUCUUGAAACACGGAAAGGUUUCCAAAAAGCAUUAUUAUCUGGAAAAGACAUUGUCUUUUUCAAAUUGCACAUUUGUGCUGCAUUACAACUAGUCUGAGAGAGCUUGUCUGGUAAGCACAUAAUUUUCUGUUACAUUGGGAAAAUAAUCAUUAUUUUAGAGCCUUUUCUCUACUAGUUCUGUUUCUGCAGUGCAGGAAGAUAGUUAUUGGCUUUUUCCAAUACACUGAUGGCAAAACAGGCUUUUCAAGAACAUGAAAUUAAUAGCUUUCUCAUUUCUCCCUGCUUGAAUACUACUAUAGAUUAUUGAGGACCUCAGCAGCAAAAUUUUUCUGGAAAGAAAAGGCUACACUAUACUUCAAAGGAAAAUGAAAUGCCUGAUUGUAAGUAAAUAAUGGCAACACAAACAUAGCUGUAAAUGUUACAGCUCUUUGCUUGGCCUCCUCCUCUCCCCAUGAAAGCUGUGUUUUUGUCUACAUUGUGACCUUCGAGUGGAAAAGGAUAGGAGUAUUAUUUAUUCCUGUUAAUAUCAGCUGGCAAUCACCUUCAGGACAGCAUUCAUUAAUUACUCUGUGUACUUGAAAGCAGCAAGUAUUUUCUCCAUACAGAGGAUCUAUACUGCAUGUUGUACCUUUUGGACCUCUUGGAUUUGUAGGAAAGUUGGUUUCCCUCAUGGUAUUUGAGAAGGCUGUAAGCCACAAGUACCAGUGAAUCAAGCAGCACAGUAAAGAAGGAAAAUAACGUAAUAUCAUAGAAUCAUAGAAUGGCUUGGGUUGGAAGGGACCUCAAAAAAUCUUUCAUUUAUGUUCAGAGGAACUAUUUAUCAGAUACCGACUAUCACCAUCAUGCAGAUGUAGUGUACAGAUGAGUAUCAUCAUCAUACAUGAGUGAGUGUCCCUGUCAUGCAUUCUGAGCAUGGAUUUACUCUGGGACCACAAGUCUGUAGCUUGUUUCCCCUCCUUUCUUCCUGCACCACUGCCUUGGGAAUAGCACUUGCUGUUCCCAUCAUGUGAGGCUUGCACUGUUCUCCUACCUCCUAAUACUGCUUGCAGCUGCAUGCAGCCUUUCAUGUCUACUUCAGCUUGGAGUUGUAGGUCUGCUGGAAAAUCCAGCCACGAGACACUUUAAGUAGCAGUUUGAUCUUUGUCAGUGAGAUUGACUCAAUUUAGACACAUACUGUUGAGAGGUCAAACCUGGACUGGAAUAUGUUUAGGGAUAUCAGAACAUUGUAAGGGGGAAAGACGGACAUUGUAACUAGCAAGUGUUUGAUUCCAGCAGAGAGUCUUGAAAAUGGGGAUGUUUAAUAGACCGUGAGGAAGUUAAAAGGAAGGAUUAAGACAACUGGUGGGGUCAAGUGCACUUUUCAUAUUUAUACAAUUUAUAGUGUAGUGCUGUAAUUAAAAAUGCUCCUUCACUCUCAUGGUUGGCCAUGGCAUCAGAGCUAUGCCUGGUGGACAGUGUUAGUCCUGGAAGGGCUUCUGUUACUUGUCCAGACCACAUGAAAGUUUUAAAAUUUGUGUAUGUGAUUAAACUUAAAAGACAGAGGGAAGAAAAUAACUGAAUCAUUAAGUAUCUUGAAUAAAUAACGAGGCCCCAUCUGGAGCACUCCAUCCAAGCCUGAGGCUCCCAGCACAAAAAGGAUGUGAAUCUCUUGAAAUGGGUCCAGAGGAGGGACACAAAGAUGAUCAGAAGGCUGGAGCACAUCUCCUAUGAGGAAAGGUGGAGGGAACUGGACUUGUUUAGCUUGGAGAAGAGAAGACUCCGGGGAGAUCUCACUGCAGCCUUCUGAUACUUAAAGGGAGAGCAUAAACAGGAGGGGGAAUCGCUGUUUAUGAGGGUGGAUAGUGGCAGGACAAGGGGGAAUGAUUUUAAACUGGGACUGGGGAGGUUUAGGUUGGAUAUUAGGAAGAAGUUUUUCACACAGAGGAUGGUGACACACUGGAACAGGUUGCCCAAGGAGGUUGUGGAUGCCCCAUCCCUGGAGGCAUUCAAGGCCAGGCUGGAUGUGGCUCUGGGCAGCCUGGUCUGGUGGAUGGCGACCCUGCACAUAGCAGGGGCGUUGAAGCUUGACGAUCAUUGUGGUCCUUUUCAACCCAGGCUGUUCUAUGAUUCUAUGAAAUAAAUUUAACCACUUUCUACUCUGAAGUAACAGGUAUUUGUGAUAGCUGUCUGGAAAGAAAAAUUUUCCAAAGAAAGUUUCAGUUAUUUUGCCAUAUUCAGAGCCUAUUUUUAAUGGGUAUUUUUAAACAAGUUACCUGAAAAACUUUGAUAACAUUUAUCAGAAACGUUUUGAUAUCCCAAACGUGAAAGCUAUAAGCAACAUUUAAAAAUAAAAGGACAUUUUUUUCUGAAAAAAAUGUUUCUCUUGACUAUUUUUACAGUCUCUAGCAAACACUCAAGAGUUAUGUAACUCCAUUAAAUGCCUAGAAUAAUAUUUCCAGUGCACACUUUGCUUGUUAAGUUAAUGGAGUGUUUUCUUACACACCAGGCCAGAAUCACGUGGUGAAAUGUGAACUGAUGUCUUUACGCUUUCAUUCUGUUUGAUUACUUGCUUGGUUAGAAAUAAAUUAAAAAUGAAAAAGACCAACCUUUUCUUUGAAAACAUGCUUUUUAGCAUGUAUGCUAAAAAGUAUGAGAGUUGCUGCUUUGUUCUUUGUGGUGUGCUUCUCACUAGGUACAAGUUCAGAUUUACCUGUAUUUUUUAGAGACAAAGAACUGACAAAUACCCUCUUCACUGCAGUGAUGGAAAUGUAUGAGGCUGAAGUCUGUAAGUCCUGAAAUAACAGGCAGGAAAAGGCUAUCUGCCUGCUAAUAGGAUUAUUCAGAAUAUGAUACUUACGUGACCCAAAAUAGCACUUCUGUUUCUCUCAUAUCAUAUUUCUUGUAUUUGGCGUACAAAAAUUCAGCUGGGAUUCUGGCUUCUUAAAAAAAACCUUUUUACGUGGAAGAAAAAAAAAAAAGUUACCUUUCUUCCUUAAAAGUCCUGGCCCCUCAUGCUGCUCAUGCAAGCUUCAGCUCUCUCAAGUGCGAGAAAAUAGGUUACCCUGGUGCCCUAAGAAAGGUCAUCAGGAAACGGGAGUUAGGGCUGGAGUUUAUGUGGAUACUGCUGGAGCUACAGUGGUGCUUUUUAAUGGCAAAGGAAAAUGACCACUCAGAAGUACAGACUGCAUUGGAACACAAGUGAAAUGCCUUGCAAGGAUUUCAGAGGAUGAAAUGGAUUACAGAGGGAGAUGAUAGGGUUACUCUCCCAGGGCCUUUGCAGGCCACAUCUUCAGGUAUUUGAGACAUCUACUAGGCCAUCUCUCUAGAGAGGAACCGAAGGAGAAAUGGGUUUGGAAACACUUCAGACCUUGUCUGCCAGAUGUCAGUAGCGACAUUUUAGGUAUUUUAGCACAAAGCUCUUCAGUGAUUUGUAUAAAUCCUGAAUGCUGUCUCCCUGUGUGUAUAUUAAAGACCUGCCUUUCUUGCCAUUAUGACAUGCAAAAAGCACGUAUAUUCUGUCCCUGAAGGGGAUAUGUUCUCUUAGUACUGCACAUACUGAGAUUGGGCAAAACAUGAAAGUGAGAUCAUAAGGAGCUGUAUUUCUGCCUGGUUCUUAGUAAGAUAAUAGAGAGUCUCAGAGGAUAAAUGUAAGCUGCUUUGUUAUUUACUUUCUUAACAUUGUUUUUUUUGUGUUUUGUGCAUUUUGAACUGUGCAGGCAGGAAAACAGGAAGCUGCCUUUCCUCUUGAACUAUUUCAAAUGCCACUGAAAGCACAUCCCCUGUGCCUCUUCAG
rnacentral:lncRNA from 1 species